rnacentral:lncRNA from 1 species
GCUCACGUGACCGGCAGGGCGCUGACUUGGGCAGCAGCUCCCGCGCCCCCUUCCCCCCGCCCCGAGGUCUGGUCCAGUCGCCCGCGCGGAACCAGCUCCCGGAGCUGCCCGGGUGGCGGGCGAGGGGCCAGCGGGCUUAGGCGAGCCAGAGGAGGCGCAGGCCCGGCCCGGGCGCUGCAGGUCUGUGAGGCUGUUGUUCCCAGCAUUCUGCUAGGCUACAAAAAGAGGAGAAACUUGUUCAGAUCCCUGCAGGACAGG